rnacentral:lncRNA from 1 species
UUCCAUAAACACAUCCUAGCUACUUAUAUUCAAGAGAAUCAUUGAAGAAAGGCUUCCAAGCUAGAGUGAGAAAAUGUGAGUUUUGGUGAGAAAUUUGGGUAAGUGGUCAUGUAUUCCAUAAAUCUUGCUUGAAUGAUGUUGUAUGAAGAAAGAAAAUCACCUCUCCCUUGUUCUUAAAAUUUUCAAAAAAAUGGGUCUUUACCCUUCAAAAAUUUUCUUUUUCUUUCCUUGAUUUGGGGAAAAAAAUGAGAUCUAUGUGGUGUUUGUUGAUGAUUGAUGUGUGUUGUGAAAGUAUAUGCUUUGAGAUGUGAAAGUCGAUUGAGUUUAGUUUACAAAAAAAAAAAAUUGGGAAAUUGUGAGUCGAUGAUUUAUAUGAUGAUUGAUGAUUAUUGAGUUAAUAUAUAUGAAUAUCUUGAUGAUUAGCCAUGAGAUAUAGAUUUUUCUAUUAGGUUAGUUUACCUAAAAUUGGGAUGUUGAGAUCCUAUGAAUCAAUUGAUGUAUUGAUGAUGGAUUUGAGUUUAUGAGAUGAUCUAGAUGAUUAAUAAUGGAUGAGAUUGAAGCUUGAGGUUGAGAAGUGAAAAAUGAAAAGUGUUAGUUUGAGGAAGAAGAUGACAUACAUAUGUAUCUAUAUGUGAUCUUGUUUUAUGAUGUUGAUUUGUGCUAAUUGGUAACCUAGGAUGUUAGAUCUAUGAUUUGAUCAAUAGGUUAUACAUGAUUAGUGAUAUUUUCAAAAGAGUUUAGUUUAAUAAAAAUUAGGACUUUUUGCCUAUGUGUUAUUAAAGUGAUUUUGGCUUAAGAUAUAUGUAUUUG